rnacentral:lncRNA from 1 species
AGAGACAUGGAGGUGUCCUCUGUGCUUCUCUGUUCAGGGUGUAGCCCUUGGCAGGGGUUCCUGCUCACAGUUCUUUUCACGUUUUCCCUUUUCUUUUUCUCUCCAAUUUGUUUCUAAUCUAUUUUCAGGAACUGAACCUUCCAAAAAGAUGAUUCCAGUCCCUGUCCUCACAAAGCCCUUUUCUUGUGGACUGGAAGUCAGAGUAUCCAGAGAAAGGCAAUGGUUUAAUGGAACCUCAAACAGAACAGAAAACAAUUCUGAGAGUGAGCAUUGCAUGAGGAAGAGGAGGAACGGGAAGAGGAGGAGGAAGAGGAGGAGGAAGAGGAGGAGGAAGAGGAAUGGGAAGAGGA